UCAUCACAGCAGGAGCCGUGAGGCAAGAAGCUCUGGGAUCAAUUAAAAUGCCAGGCUUUUCCAGGCUGGUUUCCAGAGCAUCUGUGCAUGAUUCCACAUAAAUUUAGGGAAUUAGAGAUCAGACAAAGGAUAUGAAGAAUAGUUUCCUCUAUUCAAGAAUAACAGACACUUAAUGAAAGGAAUGACAAGCAAUGCCAUCCCCCUUGGGCACAGACCUCACUAUGUGGGAACAUGUCAGCCCCAGAUUUGGGUCCACUGGAGAGAACAGAGAAAGAAGAAAAACACAGUAUUUCCCUCAGCCUCAGAAUCAGGCAACUGCUUGCAAGUCAGAAGAUACAAUGCUUUUUUCAGAAAACAAGAAUGUUCUGCCUAUGCACUCAGGUUACAAGAUGGCUGCUGAAUCUGUUGGCCACCAUUUAGGGGGAUUGAGUAGGAGCUUUCUUCCCAGAAAUUUCCAGCUGAUUCCCUCCAAUAUCUCUUUGGUGACAGUGGAAAGAAGAAAAGAAGAGUAACCGACAUAGGUUACGAAUCCCAGAGAUAUCCGCUUACAGAGAGGCCCAAUCCAACUCAGCAAUAUGACCACAACAUCUUGAAAUCUUAGAAGUCUUUGGGCUUGGGUCUCUGUUGCUGUUUAUUCAGCUGAUUCUCCACUCUUACUGUGAAAUGUGAAACUUUUGAAAAAAAAAUAAUAUUUGGGCAGCUUGAAAUCUUCAAUGUAGGCCAAAAAAUGUCAGGGUUAGGUUUUCCCUUUUGGAGACCAAAUUGACAAUCUUAUCUUGUUCCUGUUCCCAUCUUUGCUCCAGGUGUACAAAUAAUGUCCAGCUCCAUAAUAUACUUUUGUAAAGUAUUUUCAUUUCCCAAAUUGUCGGUAUCAUCUCACUUAGGCUUCCCAGCAAUGCCUCAGUCUCAGCAGCAGCACCCCCACUGUUGACUGAUGAGGAAAUCAAGGCCUAAGAGGAAUUCAGUGACUCUCCUCCAAGAUCAUAUAAUGAGCAAAGGGGAAGCCCGAUUAAAAAAACAACUGAACAGCAACGACGACAGAGCAGAUUUUCUGAGUCAUUCCCUCUCUCAAUUAUUUUUACCAAAUAUUGAUGUGUGCUUUCCAGCUGUACCAAGU